UAGCAGCCAUUAUAAAGUCGCCGCAUGAACUAUUAUUAUUAUAUAUAUCGUUUAUCCAAUUCACAAUAUUCGCAAACUUGUAAAUCGCAUAAAACAUUUCCGUCUUUUCCUGCUUCGUCCGCUUUACCUACUGUAUAAUGACUAGCGUAUAUAUAAUCACUUUCCGAAAUUGACUACUUGACGUUUUGAACAACAUGUAAAUAAAAAUGCAUACUUUAGUUAUAUAUAUAUAAUGUUGUGUAUGAAUGUUGUUGAAGCGAACGUUGUUGAACCAACAAAAGUACGACUCCUAAUAAAGGAAAACAAUAUAAAUUCAAAAUUGGUGUGAAAUCAACCACAACGGGCAAUGUCGCAGACUGAAGGAAAUGAUAUAUGCGCCAUAGGUUUUGAUGAGAAGGUAUUGCCGGCGAGAGUAGCGUGCGGUCGUUUACUUUGCUAUAAAUGCUUAAAAAUUAUGAAAUGUCACCCCGCCCAGUGAACUACUACGUGAUCUACUCGCUGCCUUAAAUGCCGCUUGCUCCUAAAAGAGGAAAAUCGAGAUGUUUAUUAAAAUGACAAAAUCACGUUUAAGAAGAAAAGAAAUACCCAAGUAAAAUCGAAACUCCUGAUACCACACGUACUACGCCCCUCAUUCCUAUGGCCCCUUAUCCUCAGCUUCUAAACUGAAGCGUCUACGGCAAUGAGAAAUAUGUUUCAUAUCAGCGAAAUGAUAGGCUUAACCCAGAAGAGAUCCAAAAGAAGUGAAGGACAUUUGCGAUACAAUUUUGAAUUAUGGAUCCUACUAUUAUUAUGAGAAAGAAGACAAUAGUGAACCUGUCGAAAAUAGUAAGAUAAA